UGCUGAAAAAGAGAAACAUUUAAGUACAGGCUAAAUAAAUUGAAUGCUGAAUAAAUUGAAUGGGAUGGGGGAGGAAAUGACAAGGACUUAUAAAUGCAGAGCAGGUUUAAUACAGCUUCCUGUUCUCAAAACAGGUCAACAUCCAAAGGAAUGCUCUGGGGCAGAUGUUGUAAAUACUGAAAAGUAGCGCACAACACUUGGGUCUGUAUAUUCAAAGAGCAGUCUGGAUUAUUCUAAGAGGUACAACCAGCUCGAGUCAUUCUGUGCACUACCCUUUGUUGCCGCAAGAGGGUAAUGUAGAGGCAGCUCUGGUUCGAAUGGGUUCUUUUCUGGAAAAUAAAUGCUUCACCUUCAAUUAACUGUGGAGCCCUUAAUGGCCCCCGUGAGCCGAAGAAUAUACAUUGAACAACGGCUCGACGUGGUCAACUAUGCCAGGGGAGUGGGUAGAGCAUCUUGGGAAUCCCUGCAAGUAUACCCGGAGUUCCUUCACUGAAAGUGAAUGUGUGAGGGUAAAAGGCGAUUGUGUGAACUCUCCUGGUACAGCACGAAGAUGGAAGAUGCUUCUGGGCCCCACAGAUUCUUCCUUGACAUCUGCAUGAGGAAGAAAUGCACUGCUGCUUGCCAGCCAAUUUGACAUAGUAAUAUUAAAGAAAAUAAAAGCUGUUUGCAUUUAACUCAAAGACAGCCAAAAAAAAGCUAGUGAAAAUUAAAUAAUCUUGCACAAUUCUAGUGCUAUGACUAGUAUUAUUCACAGUGAUGUUUCUGAAUUUUGCUUUGGUACUAAUUUUAAUUUGCAAAAUAAUAGAGUGUCCUGGGAAUGUGCGAGUGGGAGAGACGCUGUCCUCUAGCUGAACAGCUUUCAUCCCAGCUCACAUUUCCCCUUCCCCUUCCAAAACUUCAGCUGGGAAUGUUUAUAGAGAGGCUGUUUGUGCCAGAGUGAGGAAGGGUUCUUCUGGAACAAGCCUUCCACAUUUGCGGCGCACAGCUUGGGAGCUUAUUUGUAACUGAAAUCUACUCUUUGUAGCUGUGAAUGUAUGCUCAAUGAACUAUUUUUAGUCUUCUAUAAAUAUGCACAACAGCUCUUGAUAAUGUUUUGCUGUGGUUUAGGCUUUUGCCACUGGUCAUAAUGAGAAUAAAAAAUUGCUCUUAAGACAUUACAAAUCCCUGAUUAUUCUCCCACAUUCUUAAUGAAGUAGAUCAUGCUUCUUUGGGGUGGGGUUCCGUGCAUGGCUGACUUAACUGUAGAAAAAGAAAGGGGAGGAAGCAGUUGACUUUUCUGGGCACAGAAGUGUACGUUUUAUGCAACCUUUAUGAAAAUAAAGACAAUUAUUAUAUACCUUUACCUGGUGAUAGAUUAAGAGCGUGUAUUCCUAACAUAUUAAAGGGUAGAAAAAUUACUGUGACUUAUGCCUUGCAAUGUUGUGCCACCAAUAAUCUAUGAGCUAUGCUGUGACUCUAGCUGUCCAUUUAGGCCUGCAAAAAACCUGUAAGUGUUCAUCCCUCUCGUCUCAAUGAAAGGGGAAU